rnacentral:rRNA from 1 species
AUUGAACGCUUGCGGCAGGCCUAACACAUGCAAGUCGAGCGGAGCGGCGGACGGGUGAGUAAUGCCUAGGAAUCUGCCUGGUAGUGGGGGAUCACGUCCGGAAACGGGCGCUAAUACCGCAUACUAUCAGAUGAUCCUAGGUCGGAUUAGCUAGUUGUUGGGGUAAAGGCCUACCAAGGCGACACUCCGUAACUGGUCUGAGAGGAUGUUCAGUCAAACUGGACGUAGGACACGGUCCAGAGUCCUCAGGGAGGCAGCGUUGGGGAAUAUUGGCAAAUGGGCGAAAGCCUGAUCCAGCCAUGCCGGGUGUGUGAAGAAGGUAUUCGGAUUGUAAAGCACUUGAAGUUGGGAGGCGUUACCAACAGAAUAAGCACCGGCUAACUUCGUGCCAGCAGCCGCGGUAAUU